rfam:Triticum urartu cultivar G1812 contig263226, whole genome shotgun sequence.
CUUAUACUCCCUCCGUCCCAAAAUUCUUGUCUUACAUCUGUCUAGAUGCAGAUGUAUCUAAUACUAAAAUGUGACUUGAUACAUCCGUAUCUAGACAAAUCUAAGACAAGAAUUUUGGGACAGAGGGAGUAGCUC